rnacentral:rRNA from 1 species
GACGAACGCUGGCGGCGUGCUUAACACAUGCAAGUCGAACGGAAAGGCCCUGCUUUUGUGGGGUGCUCGAGUGGCGAACGGGUGAGUAACACGUGAGUAACCUGCCCUUGACUUUGGGAUAACUUCAGGAAACUGGGGCUAAUACCGGAUAGGAGCUCCUGCUGCAUGGUGGGGGUUGGAAAGUUUCGGCGGUUGGGGAUGGACUCGCGGCUUAUCAGCUUGUUGGUGGGGUAGUGGCUUACCAAGGCUUCGACGGGUAGCCGGCCUGAGAGGGUGACCGGCCACAUUGGGACUGAGAUACGGCCCAGACUCCUACGGGAGGCAGCAGGGGGGAAUAUUGCACAAUGGGCGGAAGCCUGAUGCAGCAACGCCGCGUGCGGGAUGACGGCCUUCGGGUUGUAAACCGCUUUCGCCUGUGACGAAGCGUGAGUGACGGUAAUGGGUAAAGAAGCACCGGCUAACUACGUG